rnacentral:rRNA from 1 species
GAUGAACGCUGGCGGCGUGCCUAAUACAUGCAAGUCGAGCGAACGGACGAGAAGCUUGCUUCUCUGAUGUUAGCGGCGGACGGGUGAGUAACACGUGGAUAACCUACCUAUAAGACUGGGAUAACUUCGGGAAACCGGAGCUAAUACCGGAUAAUAUUUUGAACCGCAUGGUUCAAAAGUAAAAGACGGUCUUGCUGUCACUUAUAGAUGGAUCCGCGCUGCAUUAGCUAGUUGGUAAGGUAACGGCUUACCAAGGCAACGAUGCAUAGCCGACCUGAGAGGGUGAUCGGCCACACUGGAACUGAGACACGGUCCAGACUCCUACGGGAGGCAGCAGUAGGGAAUCUUCCGCAAUGGGCGAAAGCCUGACGGAGCAACGCCGCGUGAGUGAUGAAGGUCUUCGGAUCGUAAAACUCUGUUAUUAGGGAAGAAUAUAUGUGUAAGUAACUGUGCACAUCUUGACGGUACCUAAUCAGAAAGCCACGGCUAACUACGUGCCAGCAGCCGCGGUAAUACGUAGGUGGCAAGCGUUAUCCGGAAUUAUUGGGCGUAAAGCGCGCGUAGGCGGUUUUUUAAGUCUGAUGUGAAAGCCCACGGCUCAACCGUGGAGGGUCAUUGGAAACUGGAAAACUUGAGUGCAGAAGAGGAAAGUGGAAUUCCAUGUGUAGCGGUGAAAUGCGCAGAGAUAUGGAGGAACACCAGUGGCGAAGGCGACUUUCUGGUCUGUAACUGACGCUGAUGUGCGAAAGCGUGGGGAUCAAACAGGAUUAGAUACCCUGGUAGUCCACGCCGUAAACGAUGAGUGCUAAGUGUUAGGGGGUUUCCGCCCCUUAGUGCUGCAGCUAACGCAUUAAGCACUCCGCCUGGGGAGUACGACCGCAAGGUUGAAACUCAAAGGAAUUGACGGGGACCCGCACAAGCGGUGGAGCAUGUGGUUUAAUUCGAAGCAACGCGAAGAACCUUACCAAAUCUUGACAUCCUUUGACAACUCUAGAGAUAGAGCCUUCCCCUUCGGGGGACAAAGUGACAGGUGGUGCAUGGUUGUCGUCAGCUCGUGUCGUGAGAUGUUGGGUUAAGUCCCGCAACGAGCGCAACCCUUAAGCUUAGUUGCCAUCAUUAAGUUGGGCACUCUAAGUUGACUGCCGGUGACAAACCGGAGGAAGGUGGGGAUGACGCCAAAUCAUCAUGCCCCUUAUGAUUUGGGCUACACACGUGCUACAAUGGACAAUACAAAGGGCAGCGAAACCGCGAGGUCAAGCAAAUCCCAUAAAGUUGUUCUCAGUUCGGAUUGUAGUCUGCAACUCGACUACAUGAAGCUGGAAUCGCUAGUAAUCGUAGAUCAGCAUGCUACGGUGAAUACGUUCCCGGGUCU